GGACACCACUGUUUAAAAGAAAGAAUUAAACUUUGUUAGAUAUGGUUCGGUCCAUUGUGGGUUUGCUAGUCAGUCGGAAGUUAUGCUUUAGAGACUACUUGAUAUGUGCUCAAGAAUAUUUCGAGCAAAUCGAUCACCAAAACUCUAUAUAAGAUAUAGACUUGGAUAAUUCGAUACUCACUUACCUUAGGUUUGAGGUGUCGAACUUACAUGAAAUAUUCACAAAUCGACUAGCUUAGAUCUUGAUUUGAUAAAUAUUAUUUUAGGAAUAUUUUUUCUACCUUCUUGAUGGAUAUGAGAUGUUCAUAAAUCUUAAGGUAUUUUUUUUGAAAAAGAA
rnacentral:lncRNA from 1 species